rnacentral:rRNA from 1 species
GACGAACGCUGGCGGCGUGCUUAACACAUGCAAGUCGAACGAUGAAGCCGGAGCUUGCUCUGGUGAAUUAGUGGCGAACGGGUGAGUAACACGUGAGUAACCUGCCCUUGACUCUGGGAUAACUGCGGGAAACUGUAGCUAAUACCGGAUACGACCCUCGGAGGCAUCUCCUGGGGGUGGAAAGAAUUUCGGUCAAGGAUGGACUCGCGGCCUAUCAGCUAGUUGGUGAGGUAAAGGCUCACCAAGGCGACGACGGGUAGCCGGCCUGAGAGGGUGACCGGGCACACUGGGACUGAGAUACGGGCCAGACGCAUACGGGAGGCAGCAGUGGGGAAUAUUGCACAAUGGGCGCAAGCCUGAUGCAGCGACGCCGCGUGAGGGAUGACGGCCUUCGGGUUGUAAACCUCUUUCAGCACCGACGAAGCGCAAGUGACGGUAGGUGCAGAAGAAGGACCGGCCAACUACGUGCCAGCAGCCGCGGUAA